rnacentral:lncRNA from 1 species
CCGGCCUUGGCCAGCCCAGAAACGGGUUCCCACAGUGCAGUAGUGGGCUGAAGGUAUCCUCAAAUGCCGCCAAAGUGGGAGCCCAGGCAGAGGAGGUGCCAAGAGCAAGCGAGGGCUCUGAGGACUGCCAGCACGCUGUCACCUCUCAAUAAUGUUUUCUCCUACUGAGGGCGAAAGGGAACAUGAAAAAGAUGGGAAUGUCCCUGGAUAUAGGCAGCUCCAGAGAGGGAGACAGUCUGUCCUUGAAUCAUUACUAUUAUCCCUGCACAAUUUUCUUGGAUUUGGAGAAAGCUAUAGGUAAUAUACAGGUAAUGCACAAGCGAACAAGGCGAGAACUGCAGUUCAUGAACGCUGGAACCAGCCAGUUGCUUCAGUGCCAGCAGGAGAGAACUCCACUCACUCAGAUCUGCUGCGUUCCUCCCCUUGCAGAAGUGAGCACUCAGGUGGUGAUCUUAAGAACACUGUCCAAUCAUCCUCCUCCACACCAAAAUGUCUGCUUCUGAAGAAACUUGAUGUCAGUAACAAAGAAAUAUAUUUCUCUUAUUUUUAUGUUUCAGUAUAUAAUAAAGAAUCAAUUUGGGGGAAAAAUUGGGAAAUUAUUGUUUAACCCCCCCGCCCCACAAAGUAGACUUCAAUUUUAAUGCAAAGUGAAUUUCAAUAGUGAAGCUAUUUUAUAACAAAUAAGAAGAUGAAAGUAUGUAAUAAAAUUUAUAAUGGGCAUUGAUAUGUAAUCUUUGCAGUCUAGUCUAUCUUUACCACUCAGUUUGGCCACAACCAUGCUGAAACACUGAUUCACAAAUUAUGUUUUAUCAAAUGGUAUCAGUGUUCCCAUGACCAGAAUUACUAACUUAUACAAAGCUAGUUACAGAAACCUAAGACAAACAAAUGUGGUUUAAACAAAACAGAGGCUUACUUUUUUCUCAUUUAUAUCAUCAAUAUCACACACUUCUGUCUUUCGUCUUCACCAUCCUUAACAUGUGACUCAUAGUGAUAAUAUCAUUGCACAAGAAAGAUAAAUGAAGAGGAAAAAGUAAAAGUUUAAUUACUGCUGCUUAUACCUCAUUGUCUAUUUUUGUCUGGGAUGAAGCCUGAGAAGUGAAGUCUUUCUAUGAGGGGGUAGGAGGUCAUAUUUCUACCUCCAAUAGUAUAGAUAAUUUAAGAAAUAAGGAGAAUUUAUAUUGAGUAGAAAAUUAAGCAGUCCCUACUGGAGAAGAAACCCUUCAAUCGAGGCACAAAAUUAUAACAAUCUAUAUGCAUUCAUGAUGUAUUCUAUAAUUUCUUUUACUCACAAGUCAGUGAAAAGGAGUUUAAUAAGUUCUGUUAGUGUUCCCUCCUCAGUAAGAAUGUAACAAUUAAUUCAUAUCCCACUAAGUUGUAGUAAAGACGAAUUCUCUGCAAAUCCAGUAAAUUAUCUGAGUGGUAGAGAACUUCAUGUUUUAUUCUCAUCACAUAAAUUAAAAAAUACUUAAAAGGAGGAUGAGUCAAGGCUGUAGUUCUGAUGAUGACAAAGACUUUCUUCGUGUUAGACAAGACUGCUGCAAUAAUAUAUAUAAAAAAAAUAGUGCAGCACUUGCCAAUGUGGAAAUUAGAGAGUCACAAUUUUUGUGACGCUCUUGACCAGAAUAGCAAAUAAGAUGUAUGGCCAGGCGUUGUACAUUUCACUUAUAUUGUAACUCUAAGCUUUCUUUUUCAGACAGAGCUAAUUGGUAAAGGGGUUUUCCAAACAAUUAAAGGCACAAAAUAUAUUUUUAAUCAUCAGGAAGCUACUGAAAAAUUAGUAAUUCGCCUAUUUAAUGGCAUUAAUACGCACACAACAGGAAAAGCAGAAUCUUAUAGCCUUGAGGGAAGGCAGAAUUUCAUUCUAAUUGCAUACUGAUUGGAAAUGGGAUAGCUGCCAUUUUCUUCAAAAUAUUCAUUUCAAAAUACUGAAAGAUAACUUUGGUAUUUCUAGAUCAGAUAAUGUAAUUUGGUAGCAGAAAUGGCUUCAAUUUUCUUCCCUUGCUCUAAGGCUCAAACCAACUCAAGCAUUUCUAAGGCACAUGUCCAAAUUAGUUAUCUGUUUUCUGAACAGAUGCUUAUGUGGUUUCAUCUGCUGCAAAUUAAUAAUAAAUAAUUUAUCACAUAUGUGUUAUCUAAUUUUCGAAUACAUUUCUACUUGUUUUUUUUUUCAAUAAGAUACUGAAGAGUUAAGGGUGAAAUAUCUCAGACCAAACUAACGUUUUGCUCUUUCCAGUUUCUAUUUACUCAGAUUAAUAUGGUAAUUCGAUUCAUUGAAAUUAACCACAAUGUUCCUGGUUAGAGUCUGUUAAAACUUCUCUUCAAAAGUUAAUUUACUAAUUUGAGGUUCUUUUAAGAUAAGGUUUAUUUCAAGUUGCUUUAAAUGGGUUCACUUUGAAAUUCAGUAUUUAUGCAUCGUCAUGUUGCUUGAAAUUAGAGAUAGAAAUACCACCAGAUUAUCAUAUUUUCUCUUAUUUUUGUUAUAUUUUAAAAAGUGUUCAAUUGCAGCAUGGAGUUAAUAUAAAAAUCACAACAAAUAAAAAAGUCCAACACACAUAUUUAUAUGUAAAUACCAUAUAAAGAGGAG